rnacentral:rRNA from 1 species
CAUGGAGGGUGAGAAUCCCGUUCAUGGUUAAUUCUAAGAUGCUUUAUGAUGCGUUUUCGAAGAGUCGAGUUGUUUGGGAUUGCAGCUCUAAAUGGGAGGUAAAUUUCUUCUAAAGCUAAAUACUGGCCAGAGACCGAUAGCGCACAAGUAGAGUGAUCGAAAGAUGAAAAGCACUUUGGAAAGAGAGUCAAACAGUACGUGAAAUUGUUGAAAGGGAAACGAUUGAAGCCAGUCGUACCGACGGGAAUUCAACUUCUCGAGUGCUAAUCGUGGGUGACGUUGAGCCUCACGGCCUUCGUUGCUUGUGUUUUUGGUGCUUUUGGGGUGUACUUUUCCGUAUUGGUAGGUCAGCAUCGAUUUCGAUCGUCAUAAAAUGAUCGGGGGAAUGUAGCUUCGGUCUCGUAUCGGAGUGUUAUAGACCUUGGUAGAUGUGACGAUUGGGAUCGAGGAUUGCAACGAAUACCCUCUGGGCUAUCCGUCUGACCUCUGAAAGUCGCUCGGGUGUCGAAAGCGUGCUUAUGGCUAUUCGAGUUGGCGGUCAAUAGGUUAGAACGUGAUUACAUUCGUUAAGGAUGUUGACGUAAUGG